UACGUAGGGGGCAAGCGUUGUCCGGACUUACUGGGCGUAAAGCGUGUGCAGGCGGGCCGCUAUGUGCCGUGUGAAAGCUCUCAGCUUAUCUGGGAGAGGUCGCGGUAGACAGGCAGCCUGGAGGCUCGGAGAGGUCAGUGGAAUUCUCGGUGUAGUGGUGAAAUGCGUAGAUAUCGAGAGGAACACCAGAGGUGAAGACGGGUUGCUGGGCUGACACUGACGCUGAGGCGCGAAAGCUAGGGGAGCAAACGGG
rnacentral:rRNA from 1 species